rnacentral:rRNA from 1 species
CGUGUGUGUGAAGAAGGCCUUCGGGUUGUAAAGCACUUUCAAUGGGGAAGAAUUUGACAUCGCUAAUAUCGAUGUCAAUUGACGUUACCCAUAAAAGAAGCACCGGCUAACUCCGUGCCAGCAGCCGCGGUAAUACGGAGGGUGCAAGCGUUAAUCGGAAUUACUGGGCGUAAAGCGUACGUAGGUGGUUUAUUAAGUCAGGUGUGAAAUCCCUGAGCUCAACUUAGGAACUGCAUUUGAAACUGGUAAACUAGAGUUUCGUAGAGGGGGGUAGAAUUCCAGGUGUAGCGGUGAAAUGCGUAGAGAUCUGGAGGAAUACCGGUGGCGAAGGCGACCCCCUAGACGAAAACUGACACUCAGGUACGAAAGCAUGGGGAGCAAACAGGAUUAGAUACCCUGGUAGUCCAUGCCGUAAACGAUGUCGAUUUGAAGGUUGUAGACUUUGAGCUGUGGCUUUCGGAGCUAACGCGUUAAAUCGACCGCCUGGGGAGUACGACCGCAAGGUUAAAACUCAAAUGAAUUGACGGGGGCCCGCACAAGCGGUGGAGCAUGUGGUUUAAUUCGAUGCAACACGAAGAACCUUACCUACUCUUGACAUCCAAAGAAUCACAUAGAAAUAUGAGAGUGCCUUCGGGAACUUUGAGACAGGUGCUGCAUGGCUGUCGUCAGCUCGUGUUGUGAAAUGUUGGGUUAAGUCCCGCAACGAGCGCAACCCUUAUCCUUUGUUGCCAACGAGUAAAGUCGGGAACUCAAAGGAGACUGCCGGUGAUAAACCGGAGGAAGGUGAGGAUGACGUCAAGUCAUCAUGGCCCUUAUGAG